rnacentral:piRNA from 1 species
UAAUACUACAAAAGAUGCAAUUUUCACAAU